CGGUGGUUGAAAUCGAGAGAAAUUUAUUCUCUCACAGUUGUGGAGGCCAGAAUUCUGAAAUGAAGGUUUUGGCAGGACGAUGCUUCCUCCAAAGGUUCUAGGGGAGAAUCUGUCCUUGCCUGGUUCAGGUUCUGGCAGCUCCAGGCAGGCGUUCCUGGGCUGGUGGUGGCAUCACUCCAGUCUCGGCCUCCAUCUCACAUGGCUUUCUCCUUCUGUGUGCCUCUUAAAGGACACUUGCCAUUGGAUUGAGGGCCCACCAGAUAAUCCAGCAUGACUUCAUCUUGAGAUUCUUAACUACAUGUGCAAAGACCCUUCUUCCAAAUGAGUAUAUGUGCUGCUGAAGUGAGCAUCCUGCUGCCUUAGGAAGGCUCCAAAUCUCUCCUGGCUAAGCAAGGGUAAGAGAAAUCUGGGAUUGCAUGAUAAUGGAUGAGCCAGAGGUAAGCAAGGUUCAAUAAGAACUUUGAACAAGACCCUUAAAAUGUACUCUGUCUCAGAAUUCUAAAGCUCCAUCUAAACUCUAACUGAAGGGUUCAGUUCUAAAAUGAUAGUUAGGCAUUUUGCAAAUUUCCCAUCCUUAUAGUCCCAGCAUGGGGUGGCAAGGUUAGUGGUGAGUCCUAAACUCAUCUGAAAAUCUUUUAGAAAAUACUGGUACCUGGGACUCAUCCAAGACCUAUUAAAUCAGAAAUACUAUGAGUUGGGGUAUUGAUACCUCUGUAAAAGUUCCCAAUGAAUUUAAAAAGGAGCUAGGGUUGAGAACCACUGCAUUAUUGGAGCUGGUGUAUCAACACGAAUUUCCAGAGGUUUACUCAAUAUUAACAUUGUGUUAGGACUACAGAGGAAGCGGUGAUGUGGACCCCCAGUGAGAGGAACUGACAAUAGCUGUUAGUCGGAAGAGGGCUCAGUCUGGGGAUGGAGGAAAACCAGGAAAGGACAGUGUCUGGGAAGGUAAAGGAAGAUGGCACUUCAAGGAGUUUUGUCUGGUGAACAGGGUCCAGUACUGCAGAGCAGUCCCAUAAUACAAUGACUUCAAGUGUCUUUCAUAUUGAGUGACGGGAAGAUUGUUGAUCACUUUGGUGAGAUCAGCUGCAGUGACAGUUCAGUUGGCUGAGUAGAUAAGGAAAUGAAGACAAAUGAGAACUGAAAUCUUAAGAAUUCUGGCUGUGAAGUGACAGUCUUAAAAGAGAUAUAGGGUGUAGGAGGUUUUUUUUUUCCAGUGGUUUUUUUUUUAAAUUUUAUUUAUUUAUUUUAAGAGAGAGACAGAGGGAGAAAGAGGGGUAGAGAGAGAGGAGAGAGAAAAUCUCAAGUGAGCUCUAUGCUGACAGUGGGGCUCAAUCUCACUUGAGAUCAUGACUUCAGCCAGAUCAAAUCAAGAGUCGGACACUUAACCAACUGAGCCACCCAGGAGCCCUCCUUCCAGUUUUAUUGUGAUAUAAUUGACAUAUAACAUCAUAUUGGUUUAGGAUGUACAACACAAUGAUUUGAUAUAUGUAUGUAUUGCAAAUUAUUACUACAAUAAGUUUAACAUCCAACACCUUGCACUUUUUUUUCUUGUGAAGGGAACUUUCAAGAUCUAGUUUCUUAGCAACUUUCAAAUAUAAAAUAGAGUAUUGUUAGCUAUAGUCACCAUACUGUACAUUAUCCCCAGAACUUAUUUAUAACUAGAAGUUUUGAACCCUUUCACCCAUUUCCUCUACCUCCAUGUCUUACCCUUGGGAACCACCAACCUGUUCUCUAUCUGUGAGUUUUUUUUUUUUUGAUUCCACAUAUAUGUGAGAUCAUAAAGCAUUUGUUUUCUCUGUGUGACUUAUUUCAUUUAACAAUGCCCUCAGUUUUCAUCCAUAUUGUAGCAAAUGGCAGGAUUUUCUUCUACUUUUUUUUUUAGGAUUUGCUUCUUUUUUAUGGCUAAAUAAUAUUCCUCUGUGUGUGUGUGUGCGUGUGUGUGUGUGUGUUGCAUUUUGAGUUUUUUAAAAUUAGAGAAUGAGUGAGAUUUGAGUACACAUACUUGCUAAAGGAAGGGGAGUGGAUGAAGAUGUAGGGGAGAGAGGGAAUAAUGGAUGAAACAUGGUUCCUUCAAAAUGCAGAAGCAUCAGAAUCUAGAGUGUUGUUUGAAGUGUUUAGAGAAGAGAGAAGAGACUCUGCUGUCACUAAAAUGGAGAGGAAGACUGAAUUGCUGGAGUGGAUGCAGAUAAAUGUUUAGGCACAGGUGUGCAUGGGAAUGUGGGGUGUUUCCUUGAUGGUCUCUAAUUCACUUUGACAUGGAAGAAAGGUUGGUGGCAGGGUUUCUUAGUAAUCUGUUCCCCUCUGAGGCCUCUGAAACUGUUGAGAUAGGGUGACAGCUGGAUUUGAGCACAUCCUCAUUUCUCACUCCCGUCACUCCCAACACAUGAAAUAGUGUGUGUGUGUGUGUGUGUGUGUGUGUGUGGUAUGCACUGUCUCUAGAGGGAACAGAGUUGGAGGCAGUGUGGGAGACACUUACCUUCUUUGGGACCAUUGUGUCUUCCAUCUCUUCAUUGUUCCUUCUUUCCUUGCAUUGUCAGAAUAUCAGCCUUCAACUGGCCACCAUUGCUGCUUUCAUCACGUAUUCUUUUGUAUUUUUGUUAUGAAUGCAAAAUGUCUGAUAGGUCAUCAAUAUCACUAGUUAUUUUCUUUCCACAAGGCUGACUGGUCAAUAGGGUAUGUUGGAGGUCACGA